GAUGAAGAACGUAGCGAGAUGCGAUAAGUAAUGUGAAUUGCAGAAUUCAGUGAAUCAUCGAGUCUUUGAACGCACAUUGCGCCCCCUGGUAUUCCGGGGGGCAUGCCUGUCCGAGCGUCAUUGCUGCCCUCAAGCACGGCUUGUGUGUUGGGCCCCCGUCCCCGGUUUCCCCCGGGGACGGGCCCGAAAGGCAGCGGCGGCACCGCGUCCGGUCCUCGAGCGUAUGGGGCUUUGUCACCCGCUCUGUAGGCCCGGCCGGCGCCAGCCGACACCCAACUUUAUUUCUAAGGUUGACCUCGGAUCAGGUAGGGAUACCCGCUGAACUUAAGCAUAUCAAUAAGCGGAGGA
rnacentral:misc_RNA from 1 species